UGUUCAAUUCUAUAAUUUGAAAGUUGAGAAUAUUUGCACACCCCUACCUUACAAGAUGGUAUUUACGUAAUUGUAGUGUGGGAAACAUGUUCAGUUACGGCUAAUGCUUGAGCGAACUUGAGAGGGUGGUAAUUUCACACUUCCACUGAUCUUUCUGCUGAACUGCCUCCAGCAAUGAAAACAAUGUGCAGAACGCGCACUGGGUGUCGCAUCGCACACUUGAUGACAAUCUGGUUAAAACUGGUGUGUCUAUGAGACACGUCGCCUCCUUUGUAGCAUAGAAUUUCCGAAGGAACGUUUUGUGGGAAACUAUGCUUUGUAAAGCGUUGCCACAGUACAGGUUCAAUAUUCUUGAACCAUUGCCAGAGGUAAAUGAUUUGUCAUUACUGAAAAAAAAAAAAAAUCAUGGAAAUAGCUGUGAUCCGACGCAACUUAUAUGCGCGUCACACGGCGCCCUUUCGAUCGCGAUCGAGCCCAACGGGGAUCGCAUUUCUCGGUCGCGAUUGGCUCCUUUGCGCAAGCUGCGAGGGGGCCGGGCCAAUCGCGGUCGAGUAUUUUGACCCCGAUGGUGCUCGAUCGCGAACGAAAGUGUCCGUGUGACAGCGGCAUUAUUUUCGACACAGACACGCGUCAGUCCCACUGCGUUUGCAACGACACACGGCAACAACGACAUUACGACAAUCACGUGACGUAAGCUACAUAAUGGUCGCAUUCGUACAAACGUGAACGUCAAAGUUGGCGAUCCAUCGCCCUUCGCGCCUAUGACCCACGCGUGCAUCCUAAUUUCGAGGCGCGUUCAACUAUGGAUUUCGACAGGCCGCGGCAGUCGCUGGGCAGAGCCGGCAUUCCUAUAAAUCCUCACAUCGCACGCGGCAAUUCGAGAACCGCCCGUCGAAAACGCGUGACAAAAACAGCAAAACCACAAACGAAGCACACGCCACCCGCACCAACCGAAACUGAAACUGGGCGGUCCACCAAGAGAGAGAAAAAAAAAAGUGUAAUCGUAUGCGACCCGCGCCGCCCCGGUCUCAUCGCCCUGCGCGAGUUCUCGCGAUUCCUUCAAAUCCGCAUUUUUUAUUUGCCCGCACCCUCUCGGGCCAGGUAGGACGUUUUGGUAGAGCAAGGUUUUCUUUCGAACACGCUCUUUCUCUCUCUCUCUCCCUCUCUCUCGCAUUUUCUUUUUUUUUUUUCUUUUUCGCGAAACCGAAUAUCGCGCGCGGGCCCCCCUAACUUUCGGGGCCAGUUCCCUGCGCCGCUCAUCGAGCAAGUUCACGUUCUCUCCCCCACUUUUUCUUGCUUUUCGUUACGUUCCGUUCCUCCGACUCCCGGCGGCGCGGCGCGUUGACGUUGUUUAAAGAUGGCGGCAUCCAUUAUUAAGGUUUGCGUUAGCGAGUCCCGGAUAAUUUAGCCCUGUUUUUCGUGCAUCGCCAUGGCUUAGUUUCGUUACAAAUGCGUCGACCGAGUCGAACGGGAGGUGCCGGGAGGAGCAUCGGUGACGCCGGAACCGGUCCGGAGGAAGUUAGAUCUCGUCGUACGGUUGGACGUUGCUGGAACGGCAACGGUUGGAGGAGCUUCUCUUUGGAGGGCGGACAAGCAGAAUGAUGAGCUGGCGACAACGGCUGGUCAGCGGUCCAAGUCCAACUUGGCAGGCCUGCAGUUGGACGGCCAGCUGCCAGGAGGAUGCCUUGUAGGGUCAGGAUCCGGGGACGAGGCACAGGCAUUGGUUGGUGUCGGCAGCAGUGGGAGCAGAAGAAGCCGCAGUGGCGGGAAAGCGGAGCAGGAUGGCGGGCAUCCUGUUCACCAUUGAACAGAUAGAGCUGAUCCGCAGGCUUCGGGCCUCGGGCAUCACCCGGGAUCAGGUGAUGAUGGCCUUUGAGCAGCUGGAUCGGCUCGACAUGGAGUUGGGCAGCGCGGCACCAUGUCCCGUGAUGCCCGCGCUGAUGCCGCGCGGGC